rnacentral:rRNA from 1 species
AGUGAACGCUGGCGGUAGGCCUAACACAUGCAAGUCGAACGGCAGCACAGUAAGAGCUUGCUCUUACGGGUGGCGAGUGGCGGACGGGUGAGGAAUACAUCGGAAUCUACUUUUUCGUGGGGGAUAACGUAGGGAAACUUACGCUAAUACCGCAUACGGCCUACGGGUGAAAGCAGGGGAUCUUCGGACCUUGCGCGAUUGAAUGAGCCGAUGUCGGAUUAGCUAGUUGGCAGGGUAAAGGCCCACCAAGGCGACGAUCCGUAGCUGGUCUGAGAGGAUGAUCAGCCACACUGGAACUGAGACACGGUCCAGACUCCUACGGGAGGCAGCAGUGGGGAAUAUUGGACAAUGGGCGCAAGCCUGAUCCAGCCAUACCGCGUGGGUGAAGAAGGCCUUCGGGUUGUAAAGCCCUUUUGUUGGGAAAGAAAAGCAGCAGGUUAAUACCCCGCUGUUCUGACGGUACCCAAAGAAUAAGCACCGACUAACUUCGUG